rnacentral:snoRNA from 1 species
ACGACCUUACUUGAACAGGAUCUGUUCUAUAGGCUCGUACCGCUGCAUCCUUUACCAAUAAGGAGGCAAGCACUUCAGUCUGGUUGAUGCAUUCUAACCUCUUGGCCAGAGCGUGAUUAAUGGCCUGGAAUUCACCUGAUGGGUGCCAUCCGACGGCUGUAGAGGAUCGUUCCUGUUACAGUUCAUACUGGUGCAGGGUGGCUCAGAGGUUGUCUGACAGACU